AUACUUACCUGGCAGGGGAGAUACCAUGAUCACGAAGGUGGUUUUCCCAGGGCGAGGCUCAUCCAUUGCACUCCGGGUGUGCUGACCCCUGCGAUUUCCCCAAAUGCGGGAAACUCGACUGCAUAAUUUGUGGUAGUGGGGGACUGCGUUCGCGCUCUCCCCUG
rnacentral:snRNA from 1 species